rnacentral:rRNA from 1 species
GACGGAGGAUGCAAGCGUUAUCCGGAAUGAUUGGGCGUAAAGCGUCCGCAGGUGGCAGUUCAAGUCUGCUGUCAAAGACUGGGGCUUAACUCCGGACAGGCAGUGGAAACUGAACAGCUAGAGUAUGGUAGGGGCAGAGGGAAUUCCCAGUGUAGCGGUGAAAUGCGUAGAGAUUGGGAAGAACAUCGGUGGCGAAAGCGCUCUGCUGGACCAAAACUGACACUCAGGGACGAAAGCUAGGGGAGCGAAUGGGAUUAGAUACCCCAGUAGUCCUAGCCGUAAACGAUGGAUACUAGGUGUUGUCUGUAUCGACCCGGACAGUGCCGUAGCUAACGCGUUAAGUAUCCCGCCUGGGGAGUACGCACGCAAGUGUGAA